AAGGGCAGGUGGUGGGGAGGCACAGGCAGGAGGUGCUAGAUUAACCGCUUGUUGGCUUAGGUUCCAGUGACUUUUGUCGACAUUGCUGUGUACUUCUCUGAAGACGAGUGGAAGAACUUGGACGAAUGGCAGAAGGAGCUUUAUAACAACCUUGUUAAGGAGAACUACAAAACCCUCAUGUCCCUGGACGCGGAGGGCUCAGUCCCCAAGCCAGAUGCUCCAG
rnacentral:sRNA from 1 species